AGUGAACGCUGGCGGCGUGCUUAACACAUGCAAGUCGAACGAGAACGGAUUUUAGCUUGCUAAAAUUGUCAGCUAAGUGGCGCACGGGUGAGUAAUAUAUAGGUAAUGUGCCCCUUACAAAAGAAUAACAGUUGGAAACGACUGCUAAUGCUUUAUAUGCCUUUAUCACAAAAGUGAGCAAGGGAAAGAUUUAUUGGUAAGGGAUCGGCCUGUACGGUAUCAGUUAGUUGGUGAGGUAAUGGCUCACCAAGACAAUGACGCCUAACUGGUUUGAGAGGAUGAUCAGUCACACUGGAACUGAGACACGGUCCAG
rnacentral:rRNA from 1 species